GAGGUUAAUGACAAAGUGCUCGCCGCGCUGAAAACCGGCAGAUCGCCAAGACGCCGUGAAUACCUCCUUGUCGAUUCGUUCCGCGCCAUCUCUGGCGCUGACGAUUG
rfam:Yersinia ruckeri strain 37551 YRO1b0000007, whole genome shotgun sequence.